rnacentral:tmRNA from 1 species
UGUGCUAAGCAUGUAGUAGCUUUUAUUGAGGUGCUUUCGGACGCGGGUUCGAUUCCCGCCACCUCCACCA